AGAAGGAAAGGAAAAAAAAAAAAAGAAAAAAAAAGAGAAGGAAAAAUAAGUAAAUAAAAAAGACGUAGAAGAACCCAGAUUCCAAAUGAAUGAAAACGUGACUGAAUUGGUCCCGGUCACUCUUCGGGACGGAAUGGAAGAGGGGAGGAGAUUCUCAAACGA